rnacentral:rRNA from 1 species
AGAGGGGUGCGAGCGUUAAUCGGAAUUACUGGGCGUAAAGGGUGCGUAGGCGGAUAAUUAAGUUGGAUGUGAAAGCCCUGGGGCUUAACCUAGGAAUGGCAUGCGAUACUGAUAAUCUAGAGUACAGUAGAGGAGAGCGGAAUUUCCGGUGUAGCGGUGAAAUGCGUAGAUAUCGGAAGGAACACCAGUGGCGAAGGCGGCUCUCUGGACUGAUACUGACGCUGAGGUACGAAAGCGUGGGGAGCAAACAGGAUUAGAUACCCUGGUAGUCCACGCCGUAAAUGGUGAGAACUAGCUGUUCGGAAAUUAUUCUGAGUGGCGUAGCAAACGCGCUAAGUUCUCCGCCUGGGGAGUACGGCCGCAAGGUUA